CGGUUAAUAGUUAAACAACUCGACUUUCAACCAAUAGAUUACAGGUUCAAAUCCUGUUUAACCUA
rfam:Schistosoma mansoni strain Puerto Rico chromosome W, complete genome